AGUACUUAUGCUAGCGGUUACGUGUCACAUAGUACAGGUACUACGCCCACAGCGACAAGUGAAAAACUUCUUUUGGUCUCUGUAGUGUCCCGGUGUCAUUUUUACCCUUCCCCGAGAAGAGGUGGCUUUCACCCUCCAAGUAAGAGCAGCUCUGUGCUCAGGUCCAAAAGUGAAGUCGAGGAUGAGAGGAACCUAAAUCCAAAUGUUCAAGCAAAUCCGUAGUGACGAGGAGAAGGGUUGGUUUUCACCCCCCCCCCCCCAAG
rnacentral:lncRNA from 1 species